UCCGGUUGAUCCUGCCGGAGGCUACUGCUAUCGGGGUCCGACUAAGCCAUGCGAGUUGAGAGGGGUAAGCCCUCGGCAUAUUGCUCAGUAACACGCGGAUAACCUGCCCUUGGGUUCGGGAUAACCCCGGGAAACUGGGACUAAUACCGGAUAGAUCAAAGAAACUGGAAUGUUCUCUGGUCAAAAACUCUGGUGCCCAAGGAUGGGUCUGCGGCCUAUCAGGUAGUAGUGGGUGUAACGUACCUACUAGCCUACGACGGGUAAGGGUUGUGAGAGCAAGAGCCCUGAGAUGGAUUCUGAGACAUGAAUCCAGGCCCUACGGGGUGCAGCAGGCGCGAAAACUUUACACUGCGGGAAACCGCGAUAAGGGGACCCCGAGUGCCAGCACCUAGUGCUGGCUGUCCAGCUGUCCAAAUAACAGUUGUUAGCAAGGGCCGGGCAAGACCGGUGCCAGCCGCCGCGGUAACACCGGCGGCCCGAGUGGUAGCCGUUAUUAUUGGGUUUAAAGGGUCCGUAGCCGGCCUAUUAAGUCUCUUGGGAAAUCUGGCGACUCAAUCGUCAGGCGUCCAAGAGAUACUGGUAGGCUUGGGACCGGGAGAGGUGGGAGGUACUCCAGGGGUAGGGGUGAAAUCUCGUAAUCCUUGGGGGACCACCGAUGGCGAAGGCAUCCCACCAGAACGGGUCCGACGGUGAGGGACGAAAGCUGGGGGCACGAACCGGAUUAGAUACCCGGGUAGUCCUAGCCGUAAACGAUGCUCGCUAGGUGUCAGGUGCGGUGCGACCGCAUCUGGUGCCGCAGUGAAAACUUGAAGCGAGUCACCUGAAGUACGGUUGCAAGGCUGAAACUUAAAGGAAU
rnacentral:rRNA from 1 species